GAAGUCCGCCGGGCAGCCGCUGUGGGUGCGAACCCAUGGAGGAAAGUCCGGGCCCCGCAGGGCAGGAUGCCGGCUAACGGCCGGGCGCAGCAAGCGGAGGGCCGCCUGGUCCUCCGCCCAAGGCGACGGAAAGUGCAACAGAAAGCAAACCGCCCAAGUCCGCAAGGACCGGCAAGGGUGAAAUGGUGCGGCCUCGACAGGGGCCGUCCGCCGGCUCCGGCCGGCGGAGGGUAAGAGCCCACCGCGUUUCCGGUAACGGGAACGGCAUGGCAAACCCCAUCCGGGGCAAGGCCAAAUAGGGGAGCGAUGGCGUGGCCCGCGCCGCUCCCGGGUAGGCUGCUAGAGCCCGUCGGCAACGGCGGGCCCAGAGGAAUGGCUGCCGGAUGGUCGCGAGGCCAUCUCACAGAACCCGGCUUACAGGCGGACUUCCCAA
rnacentral:RNase_P_RNA from 1 species